AUAUCAUGGUGUGGACAUUUUCUUAACAUUGCUUUUAACCUUUCCCAAGCUUGAUAAACUGACUCUAUAUUAGUCUGCAUGAAAUUGGAUAUGUCUUGUCUUAACUU
rnacentral:snoRNA from 1 species